AACGGUUUAUUAGGUAGCCUAUCUAUUAUCAUAUCUAUCUAUUAUUAUAAAAAAUAUAUUUUCUUAAUUAUAAUUAUAUCAUUGAUAUAAUUAAUAAUUAAUGGUCAAAUGUGGCACACACACAGAUUGAAACGGGAGCACACACACAGAUUGAAACGGGAAUCUGUGUGUGUGCCACGGAAUAUCAUUGUCAUUUACUUGCAUUGGAGCAACUUCCGUGGACACAACAAGGACAAUUUAAGUGUUUCAGUGAGCUGAAACUGUUGCUGGAGGCGGUGAUCAAUAAACACGUAAACGGCGUACACAAACUCGGCCAGCAGUAGUUAACUGUAAAAAAGUAAAAGUGUACAGGUUUCAAAUCCACCCAUUUUAGACGGACUACUAGAGAAUUACAUUACAAUCCUCUGCUUAAAAUGUCAUCCACUGGUGUGAUUGAGUUUCUUCUGUAGAAUAUCUCUUUACGAAACAGGAAACCAGGUGUAACUCCGCCCCUUGCUCCUGUUGGUUUCCUGCUUAGGCUUUGCCGUCUCCCCCCAGAAGCACUACUAUAACAUGGGAGGAUUUGUAUUUUCCCACCGUAUCUCUUAUACCCAGUAGUAAGUCACCUAGGCCCUGAAAAUGAAUAGGGCCAUAGAUACUGUAUGUCUAUUCCAGCUGUCCCAGUUUUGUUAUCUUCCUUAAAUAUAUCAAAUAGCAUUACUGUACUUGCACAAUGCAUUUAACUUUUCCACACUCAUUUCAUUGUGAAUUGCAUUCCUUAAGCCAUACGUUGUUGUUGCACUCAGAGCCACGAGAGGCUGAGGAUCCUGGGCCUGUAUCACUGGAUGAUGGUAUUAAGUCUCUGGGGAGCUAGCACUUAGGUUGGAGUCUGAUGAUCUGUUUGUUUGCGUCACCGGUGGAACCGACCCUCAGAAAUACUCCCCUUGGAAGCUGGUUUCCGAUGGUGGCUUAGAGUGCGGUCCUCCAUCUAGCACCAUUUGAAAUCAGUGUUCUUGUGGUGGGAUGUGAACUUCUCCCACAGAUGCUGGAUGCGUGCCAGCAACACUGCAUCACACUUGGUGGGAGGGGAGGAAAACGGGAUUUCAUCACCCAGGAAGUGUCACCCACCCCUUACGAACGGGCCGGAGGGACAGUUAGCAGUGGCGCAGUUGCAGUCGCAGUGACUCAGUAGCAGUGACUUAUGAUGUGUUCCAGAUGCCUCUUACACCACCCGCACGAGUUGCUCUUGUGGCGUAAUUUCCUGGCUUGUAACACUUAUAGCGUUCCUGUUUGUCUUUGUGAUUGCGUCAUGUCAUUGGCUAGUCAUUGUUAGCCACAUUAGCCUCUCUAGCAAACCAGCUAGAAGAAAAACACAACUUUACAUUGUAUUUCACGCACAGCAAGACCGUGCAAUGCAUAAAUUGAUGACCGGAAUAACGAAGAAAUUUAAUCAAGUGUGUAAGAGCAUUUAAAAUCGACAUUAAAAUGACCAACGUGUUACGAAUACAAAGAAAAUAAAUCCAAUUUUUGGACCAGCCAUUUUUGUUGUCGAGUUGUACGGUCAACCUCACUGAACUCUGUAUACUCUCAGAAUCGACCAAAACUUUUGGUCGGUCCCAGGUCAAAUGCCGCAAGAAAGCUGGGAGAUUACCCCAUUUGCAACUCGUUCGGCUGGUGUACGAGGCAUCUGGAACACACCAUCAGUUAGCGUGAGGCAGUUAGCCAUGACUCAGUUAGCCAUGGCACAGUAGCAGUGACUCAGUUAGCAGUCAUUCAGCUAGCCAUGGCACAGUAGCAGUGACUCAGUAGCAUUGACUCAGUAGCAGUGACUCAGUAGCAGUGACGCAGUUAGCAUUAAGCAGUAGCAUUGACUCAGUAGCAGUGAUGCAGUUAUCAUUGACGCAGUAGCAGUGACUCAGUAGCAGUGACGCAGUUAACAUUGACGCAGUAGCAGUGACGCAGUUGGCAUUGACACAGUAGCAGUGACACAGUUAGCAGUGCAAGCUUAAGGUCCUCUUUUCCAAGGUUGACUGAUUUCUUUCGGUGUUCAGAGUCUUCUUGUGUUUCUAGCACCAUUUGAAAUCGGUUACAAUGAAGGAUACCUCAUCGGGAGGGUGAGCUCCUCUGCGGCGGGCCCGUGGGCAGACUGGGGUUGGGCAGAAGGGAUUAAAAAGGGGCCCUAGUUCUAAGAUCACUAGUUCUCUUCAAUUGAACUAGCAGGGCUUUAGUGCAACUGAAUGUAUUGGGCUAAUGGCCAAGAAGCAUUCAUCUGAAAUAUUUUAUUUUUAAGCGUUAUACAGGAAUGUAAUGUUUGGUAUUCAUACGUGAUGAAUGAAAAUUAAAUGCUGAAUGGAUUAUAAAAAUUGUAAUCCAUUUGUUGACCGAUAUUAAAGACUCAGAGAGUACAGUAACACAGAACGUGGACGGAAGUACUUUAAUCAUUUUUAUAAUUUCAAGCUCAUGUUCAUAUCAAAUGGUUGUCAAGGCACAAUGAAAUACAAUGCUAAUAAAUUAUGGAUAUUACUAAUGCAGUUGACCAUUUUGAUAGAUAUUUUUAAAUGGCGUCAAUAGAUUUAUUUCGCUUUUCACAUUUUGUCACAUUUAGAAUGUGGAAAAUCGAUAGCAAACGAUUGGAACACAAUGAUCAGAGGCUUCAGAUUUGAUCUGCACACAUAUUUAUACCUCAUUUAGAUUAUUUACAAGCACAGAAUGUUAAUUCCAUGGCGCUACGGCCCCAGCAAAGCCUAUAAGUGCAAAUUGUCAAAAAAUACAUACCUCAAACAUUGGGCGAUGAUUAAUUUCAAAUCAAUAUAAAUGUUUUAUCUCCACAUUUAGAGAUUUGAGUGGGGGACCACAGGAAAAAAAACAUUUUAUUUUACAUUCACACAUCCAACCCAAUAACGUCAACUCCACAACUAAACAACAACCCAUUGGUUAAAAACAAGCCCCUCCAAAAAGUGCUUGUUUAAUUCAUCUGCUUACAACCAUAAAUUGGGUUCAAAACGACCAAGGCCAAAUAGACCAACCAAGAACGAGUAGCAAUACAAAACGGCUCCAUUUUAUUUUCUUAACAAAAAUCAAUCUACAAUAAGGUUUACAAUACAGGGUUGAUGGCAAAGUAAUCAACCAAAUAAUUGUACUUUUGGCAGCAAAUGCAGCCAGAAAUGUUUCUAUCAAACGCAUUGACCUUUUCUCAAAACUUAAAACGUGGCAAAUAAACAUGUUGAAGGUGGAAGAUAAAUAAAUAAUUGAAUGCAACACUAUCAAUCUAAUACAGCAUUAAUUCAGAAGCAUUCAUUGGAGUAAGCUAUGCUUAAGCCAAAGCAAUAUGAUUUUGUGAUCGAUGUCCUUCAGAUGCCAAGUGAACAGAUUCCAGAUUGAUUAGAAAAGCA